AACCCAGUGUUUAAAAACACAAGAAAAAAAUAAUAGAUGUUGAUUCAAUGUCUUAUUCUACCAAAAUAGCUAAAAGGUAAUUACGUAAAUCUUCAAAAAAUGUGAAAUAUGCUUUUAGUGUUAGCUUCUAUUGACAGAUUAGGCAGCCAAUGGCUGGCGCGGUCUGGUUUCGUGUCGGCCAAUGGGGUUGAUCGUCCCGCCCCUUUUUAACAGCUGGCGGUUGUUUCGUUCGGAGCGCGGCAGACAGGCUUGAAAGCUAACAGCUGACGGUUGCUUCGCUCAGAACGCUUGAGAACAGCUGACGGUUGUUUCGCUGCGAACGCUUGAGAGCUAACAGCUGACGGUCGUUUCCGUAAAGAGGUAGAAAGAAAUUGACGAAUCUGGAAAUUGGUAAGGAAAACAAUAUUAAUAUAAAUUCACUAAAUAUAUAAUUCAAAAUACUACAUUCGGUUUUAUUAGAUCUCGGAGGGUUUCCCCCGUGAACAGCUGAAGCCCGAAAAAUAGCCGUUGACAGCUCGGAGCAUCGGUCAGGUUUUUUUUUUUUGGAGUUUGUACAGUACACUUUUGGCUUGGAGGGCCAAAGAUUCCAAGACCCUCUUCACCUGAAACUGGAUGGCGAGCCCCAGCCCAGAGGACCAGGCGCACGGGUAGAUAGUGACCCGACUGGUCACCAGCUGAGAGACUUUGAGACUGAAGAAUUAAUUCAUUGGAGACUGAAGUAUUCAAUUUAUUUAUUUAUUUUUUUUUUUUUAAAGCGCGCAGUAUUUGUUUGUCUGUUUUAAAUGUGGAUCCACAAUUGUUUAUUAUAUUAAAUAUUUGCUCUUUUCUUGUA